UUCGACGUCGUGCACAGCGCACGCCUGCCAGCACUAUCAAAAUAGUCCGCAAGCUUUAGUUAGCAGGUGGUCUGGGUUCGAUUCCCAGCGUCGGAU